rnacentral:rRNA from 1 species
AGUGAACGCUGGCGGUAGGCCUAACACAUGCAAGUCGAACGGCAGCACAGUAAGAGCUUGCUCUUACGGGUGGCGAGUGGCGGACGGGUGAGGAAUACAUCGGAAUCUACUUUUUCGUGGGGGAUAACGUAGGGAAACUUACGCUAAUACCGCAUACGACCUACGGGUGAAAGCAGGGGAUCUUCGGAUCUUGCGCGAUUGAAUGAGCCGAUGUCGGAUUAGCUAGUUGGCGGGGUAAAGGCCCACCAAGGCGACGAUCCGUAGCUGGUCUGAGAGGAUGAUCAGCCACACUGGAACUGAGACACGGUCCAGACUCCUACGGGAGGCAGCAGUGGGGAAUAUUGGACAAUGGGCGCAAGCCUGAUCCGGCCAUACCGCGUGGGUGAAGAAGGCCUUCGGGUUGUAAAGCCCUUUUGUUGGGAAAGAAAAGCAGCAGGUUAAUACCCCGCUGUUCUGACGGUACCCAAAGAAUAAGCACCGGCUAACUUCGUG